rnacentral:rRNA from 1 species
AUUGAACGCUAGCGGGAUGCUUUACACAUGCAAGUCGAACGAGUGGCGGACGGGUGAGUAAUAUAUCGGAACGUGCCCAGUAGCGGGGGAUCACUACUCGAAAGAGUGGCUAAUACCGCCAAAUAUUGAAGAGGCAGCUAUCGGAUUAGCUAGGUGGUGGGGUAAAGGCUCACCAAGGCAACGAUCAGUAGCUGGUUUGAGAGGACGACCAGCCACACUGGGACUGAGACACGGCCCAGACUCCUACGGGAGGCAGCAGUGGGGAAUUUUGGACAAUGGGGGAAACCCUGAUCCAGCCAUCCCGCGUGUAUGAGAAGGCCUUCGGGUUGUAAAGUACUUUUGGCAGAGAAGCGGUAUCUGCAGAAUAAGCACCGGCUAACUACGUGCCAGCAGCCGCGGUAAUAC